rnacentral:sRNA from 1 species
UUUUAGCCCCGAUAGAAGCGAUAUCCUUUUCCUGCUUUCUUUAAGCAGGGAAAGAUAAAGCUGAUAGUGGGAUUAGCU